rnacentral:rRNA from 1 species
UACGUAGGGGGCAAGCGUUGUCCGGAUUUAUUGGGCGUAAAGAGCGUGUAGGCGGCCGUACAGGUCAGCUGUGAAAACUCGAGGCUCAACCUCGAGACGUCGGUUGAAACCGUACGGCUAGAGUCCGGAAGAGGAGAGUGGAAUUCCCGGUGAUAGCGGUGAAAUGCGCAGAUAUCGGGAAGAACACCCGUGGCGAAGGCGGCUCUCUGGGACGGUACUGGACGCGUGAGACGGCGAAAGCGUGGGAGCGAACGAGG